AUGGAGCCUGCAGCACUACCGUUGCUCUGGUCCGUUGCCCCCUUAAUCAUCGUACUCUUCUUACUUGUCAUUAAAAUCUACACCUCGUCUCCGGCGGGAAAGCGGCUGCCGCCGGGGCUAUGGCAGCUGCCACUCGUAGGCAGCCUCCACCACUUCCUGCUGUCGCGCCAUGGCGACCUGCCGCACCGUGUCCUGCGGGAGCUCUCUCGCAAGCACGUCCCGCUCAUGCUGCUCCGCUUCGGUGCUGUGCCCACGCUGGUCGUCUCAUCUGCCGAGGCUGCCAGGGAGGUCCUCAAGACGCAUGACGCAGCCUUCGCCAGCCGCCACCUCACGCCAACGCUGGACAUCUUCAGCCGCGGCGGCCAAGACAUCCUCUUCUCCCCCUACGGUGACCUGUGGCGCCAGCUCCGCCGCAUCUGCCUGCUCGAGCUCAUGAGCGCACGCCGCGUCCUGUCCUUCCGCCACAUCCGGGAAGACGAGGUCGCCGCCUUGAUCAGCUACAUCACAGACGAGUGCGCUCGCGGUGGCGGCUGCACGGUGGUAGAAAUCGGCCAGCUGAUCACCCGCACGGUCAACGGCAUCGUGGUGCGGUCGGCCGUCGGCGGACGAUGCCCGCGGCGGGACGAGUUCCUGCACGUGCUUGACCGGUCGGUGAAGCUUGCCGGUGGCUUCAACCUGUCUGACCUCUACCCAUCGUCAGAGCUGGCGCGCUGGCUCAGCGGCGCCCUCCGGGAGACCGAGCGGUGCAACCGCAAAGCGCGUGCGAUUAUGGACGAUUUCAUCCGCGAGCGCGUCGACGGUGCCGGCGAGAGCACGGAGGACAUUCUCGGGGUGCUGCUGAGGGUGCAGAAGGACGGUGGGGCGCAGUGCUCUCUGGACCUCACCACCGACAUCAUCACCACCGUGGUCCAAGAAAUGUUCGUAGCCGGGAGCGAGACCUCGUCGACAACGCUGGAAUGGGCCAUGUCGGAGCUGGUGAGGAACCCGCGCGUUCUCCACAAGGCCCAGGCGGAGGUGCGAGAGGCACUCCAUGGACGGAGCAAGCUAGUGGAGGGUGACCUCGCUGGCGGGCGGCUGAGCUACCUCAACUUGGUGAUCAGGGAGACAUUGCGGUUGCACGCACCGUUGCCCUUCCUUCCACGGCAGUGCCGGGAGCCAUGCGAGGUGAUGGGCUACCACAUCCCCGAGGGUACAAAGGUUCUCUUGAACGCCUGGGCCUUGGGCAGGGACGAUUCCUACUGGGAGGACGCUGAGGCGUUCAAGCCGGAGAGGUUCGAGGAGAGUGGCACCGCCGCCAUGGACUUCAAGGGCGGCCACUUCGAGUAUCUUCCCUUCGGGUCCGGCAGGAGGAUGUGCCCAGGCGUGGCGCUCGGCCUCGCCAACAUGGAGCUGCUGCUCGCCAGCCUCCUCUACCACUUCAACUGGGAGCUCCCCGGCGGCGGGAGACCGCAGGAGCUCGACAUGUCUGAGGCGUUUGGCAUCGCCGUCAGCAGGAAGUCCAAGCUCGUGUUGCGCGCUAUGGAGCAUAUCAGGUUCGAAAAUUAA
rnacentral:rRNA from 1 species